UUUAUAUUACUUAUUUAAUAAUUAUAUUUUUAUAUUUUUAAUUUAAAUAAAUUAAUUUAUUU
rnacentral:tRNA from 1 species